UACGUAGGGUGCGAGCGUUGUCCGGAAUUAUUGGGCGUAAAGAGCUUGUAGGCGGUCUGUCGCGUCUGCUGUGAAAAUCCGGGGCUCAACCCCGGACUUGCAGUGGGUACGGGCAGACUAGAGUUGUGGUAGGGGAGACUGGAAUUCCUGGUGUAGCGGGUGAAAUGCGCAGAAUAUACAAGGGAGGAACACCGAUGGCGAAGGCAGGUCUCGUGGGCCACUGACUGACG
rnacentral:rRNA from 1 species